UACGUAACGGGCUAGCGUUGUCCGGAAUCAUUGGGCGUAAAGAGCGUGUAGGCGGCCCGGUACGUCCGCUGUGAAAGUCGAGGGCUCAACCCUCGAAUGCCGGUGGAUACUGUCGGGCUCGAGUACGGAAGAGGCGAGUGGAAUUCCUGGUGUAGCGGUGAAAUGCGCAGAUAUCAGGAAGAACACCAAUGGCGAAAGCAGCUUUCUGGGACGGUACUGACGCUGAGACGCGAAAGCGUGGGGAGCGAACAGG
rnacentral:rRNA from 1 species